AAACAUGUUUUUUUGAAAAUAAUUUGAAGUUUAAUCUGCCCACUGAUNAAAUUAUUAAAGGGCUGCAGUAUUUUGACUGUACAAAGGUAGCAUAAUCAUUAGUCUCUUAAUUGGUGACUUGUAUGAAAGAUUGGAUGAAAUAUAUACUGUCUCUAAUUAAUUUAUAAAAUUUAAUUUUUUAGUAAAAAAGCUAAAAUAAGUUUAAAAGACGAGAAGACCCUAUAGAGUUUAAUGAUUUAUUUGAUUAUUAUUAAUAUAUAAAUUUUAAAAUUAAAAUUAAAUGAAUUAUUUUAUUGGGGUGAUAGAAAAAUUAAAUUAACUUUUUUUUUUUUUUAAACGUGAAUUUAUGAAUAGAUGAUCCAUUAAUAAUGAUUAAAAGAAAAAAUUACCUUAGGGAUAACAGCGUAAUUUUUUUUUUUAGUUCAAAUAGGAAAAAAAGUUUGCGACCUCGAUGUUGGAUUAAGAUAAAAUUUAAAUGCAAAAGUUUAAAAUUUUAAUCUGUUCGAUCAUUAAAAUCUUA
rnacentral:rRNA from 1 species